rnacentral:tRNA from 1 species
GGCGGAUGUAGCCAAGUGGAUCAAGGCAGUGGAUUUGUGAAUCCCCCUUGCGGGGAA